GGAUGGAUCCGGACCGGGGUCGCAGAGUGCUCUCGGAAGCUGACUGAUUUUGCUCUCAGCAAUCAAGUGGUUUUCUUGGUCAGUUUCUGUAAUUGCUAGGAAGUCUGUGGUCUUUCCGGAUUUCCAGAGCAGAGGAAGGUCUCCUGGCUUCCUCUUGCUUUGAAGUGGAACUGAAGGAAUUGAUUGGCUCUAUUGAUAGAAACAUUUCUGCCUAGGUGCGGUAUAGAAUAAGAACAGUAAGGACUGAGAAAUAGCCCUGGCCCAAGUUCAAGAACAUGGGGAAGUGGAGAACCGUCUGGGAGCUGAACAGGAAGCAGUUUCAAUUGGAGAAAAGAU
rnacentral:lncRNA from 1 species